rnacentral:rRNA from 1 species
CUAGCGGCGGAUGGGUGAGUAACACGUGGGCAAUCUGCCCUAAAGACUGGGAUACCACUUGGAAACAGGUGCUAAUACCGGAUAACAACAUGAAUCGCAUGAUUCAAGUUUGAAAGGCGGCGCAAGCUGUCACUUUAGGAUGAGCCCGCGGCGCAUUAGCUAGUUGGUGGGGUAAAGGCCUACCAAGGCAAUGAUGCGUAGCCGAGUUGAGAGACUGAUCGGCCACAUUGGGACUGAGACACGGCCCAAACUCCUACGGGAGGCAGCAGUAGGGAAUCUUCCACAAUGGACGCAAGUCUGAUGGAGCAACGCCGCGUGAGUGAAGAAGGUCUUCGGAUCGUAAAGCUCUGUUGUUGGUGAAGAAGGAUAGAGGCAGUAACUGGUCUUUAUUUGACGGUAAUCAACCAGAAAGUCACGGCUAACUACGUGCCAGCAGCCGCGGUAAUACGUAGGUGGCAAGCGUUGUCCGGAUUUAUUGGGCGUAAAGCGAGCGCAGGCGGAAUGAUAAGUCUGAUGUGAAAGCCCACGGCUCAACCGUGGAACUGCAUCGGAAACUGUCAUUCUUGAGUGCAGAAGAGGAGAGUGGAACUCCAUGUGUAGCGGUGGAAUGCGUAGAUAUAUGGAAGAACACCAGUGGCGAAGGCGGCUCUCUGGUCUGCAACUGACGCUGAGGCUCGAAAGCAUGGGUAGCGAACAGGAUUAGAUACCCUGGUAGUCCAUGCCGUAAACGAUGAGCGCUAGGUGUUGGGGACUUUCCGGUCCUCAGUGCCGCAGCAAACGCAUUAAGCGCUCC